AUUGAACGCUGGCGGCAGGCCUAACACAUGCAAGUCGAACGAGUGGCGGACGGGUGAGUAAUGUCUGGGAAACUGCCUGAUGGAGGGGGGAAAAGACUGGAAACGGUAGGUAAUAACGCAUACCAUCAGAUUGGCCCAGAUGGGCUUCGCGUGUUGGUGGGGUAACGGCUCCUAAAGGGGACGAUACCUCGCCGGUCUGAGAGGAUGACCAGCCACAUGGGAACUGAGCCAGGGUCCAAACUCCUACGGGGGGCAGCAUUGGGGAAUAUUGGACAAGGGGGGCAAGCCUGAGGAAGCCAGGCCGCGUGUUUGAAGCAGGCUUUCGGGUUGUAAAGUACUUUCAUCGGGGAGGCGGUACCCGCAGAAGAAGCAACGGCUAACUCCGUGCCAGCAGCCGCGGUAAUUC
rnacentral:rRNA from 1 species